UGGGGAAUUUUGGACAAUGGGCGCAAGCCUGAUCCAGCCAUGCCGCGUGAGUGAAGAAGGCCUUCGGGUUGUAAAGCUCUUUUGUCCGGGAGGAAAUCCUGGCCUCUAAUACAGGUCGGGGAUGACAGUACUGGAAGAAUAAGCACCGGCUAACUACGUGCCAGCAGCCGCGGUAAUACGUAGGGUGCAAGCGUUAAUCGGAAUUACUGGGCGUAAAGCGUGCGCAGGCGGUUUUGUAAGCCAGAUGUGAAAUCCCCGAGCUUAACUUGGGAACUGCGUUUGGAACUACAAGACUAGAGUGUGUCAGAGGGGGGUAGAAUUCCACGUGUAGCAGUGAAAUGCGUAGAGAUGUGGAGGAAUACCGAUGGCGAAGGCAGCCCCCUGGGAUAACACUGACGCUCAUGCACGAAAGCGUGGGGAGCAAACA
rnacentral:rRNA from 1 species